rnacentral:lncRNA from 1 species
CGGUUUUUUUAGCACACUGAUUUGUUGUACGAGCUUUGAAUCUUUCAGGCUAAGUUUGGUUUUAGAAAGUUGGAGGGAAAAUGUGAAGGGGAGAAAACAGGAAGGAAAAGUAAAAAAAAAAGAGACAGGGUGAAGGAAAACAUAGGUACAAGCCUUUUUCGAAAAUUAGGAAAAAGGAAAAUAGAAGGAAAACAUAGCUAGAAGGCUUAUUUAAGAAGUAGGAGAAGGUGGAAUUGCUAUGAAGUACUACUAGGCUUGGUUCCCAAAUGUUGUAGAACAUGACUGAUCCUUAGUCAUAUUUCUUAGCCUAAGAAGCAAAUGCACAAUAAUCCCACACACAAACCC